UUUGAAAAAGGAUUGAUAUACAAAAGAUAAGAUGAAAACGAAGGGAGUUUGGGUGAUUAUGAUGAUUAUGUUUGUUUUGAUAGUAAGUGAUUACAAUGUUUUGUCUGUGCAAAUUGAGUCAAAAGAUGUGUCUGAUGCACUCGGUUGCAGUGGCAAAUGUACAUUGGAAUGUUCUCCUUUAGCAGUGUUUCCUACUUUAUAUUUAAUAUGUGCAAGAGAUUGCUGCAGAAAAUGCUGCAAAAAACAAAAUAAUGUGGUAGAAUGCACAUCACAUUGCCCUAAUAUCAGUACUGGAAUGUGAGAAGAAGAAAAGAUUUUUGUGCUUGCUGUAAUGGAAAAACUUUAGUCAAUAAAUAACUGUUCGUCAA